AGACCCCGCCCCUGGGCUUUCUCACUUCCUGGUGUGAACCGUGUGAGCCGUGCGAGCUGUGCUUACCUGUUGGGCCGCGUUUGGGGAUCAAUUCCCCCUUCAUCUGGGUGUCAACUUGCUGCUAGAUGAGUGGCUGUAGGGAGGUCGCAGACUCCCCACCUCUCCUACUGGGCGUGUCAGUUAAAUGUUUGUUUGCCAGGAGCGGCUAAUCUGCCGUGGAGCCCGCCAGCUGUUUUGUCCUUCCGGGUGGCUUCGAAGUCCAGUGUUGGCACCCGUAAAUACGCCUGGACUGCCUCUGCCCCUUAGAAGUCCGCCGUCUGCAGAAGCUGAGCACGACGGUGGCGGCAUCGGUGUCCCUGGGUGGUGGGUCUCCCUCCUGUAUGAUGUGCUGCGCACCCUUUUUUGUUUGUGUGUUCACCAUUAUUUUCAGCGAGUGAGAGUGUCCACGUGUGUCUGGGGUGAUCCCUCCGAGGCCUUCAUUCCCCCUAUUACCCGUGUCCCUCCAGUAAGCCUCAGCUCCUGAUUGGGCUCCCCCUCUUCCCCUUGUUUUAAGAGGAGUGAAUGUGUUUUUUUGAAGUUUUCUAUUUAAUAAAGAUUUUCUGUUAGCCAGAACCCACGUCUCCUGCUUCUUAAGCCUCGAACCUGAGUGUCCUCACUUUUAGUUAUUUCCUUGGGUGUGUUACGGGUCUCAGGGUGAUGAUGACCACAGUAACAAAAAUAUUACCUGUUUUAAGCAGGUGAAAAGAGGAGACAGAAGACGAGAGGCAUCUUGUUUAACUCCCGAAUAACGUCUGAAUCUUUAA